rnacentral:rRNA from 1 species
CGAACGCUGGCGGCGUGCUUAACGACAUGCAAGUCGAACGAGGUGAUUGAAAGCUUGCUUUGAGAACCGAGUGGCAAACGGGUGAGUAACGCGUAGACAACCUGCCGCAAAGAUGGGGACAACAGUCCGAAAGGACUGCUAAUACCGAAUGUUGUCAGUUUCUCGCAUGAGAGACUGAUUAAAGAUGGCCUCUACUUGUAAGCUAUCGCUUUGCGAUGGGUCUGCGUCUGAUUAGCUAGUUGGUGGGGUAACGGCCUACCAAGGCGACGAUCAGUAGCCGGUCUGAGAGGAUGAACGGCCACAUUGGAACUGAGACACGGUCCAGACUCCUACGGGAGGCAGCAGUGGGGAAUCUUCCGCAAUGGGCGAAAGCCUGACGGAGCAACGCCGCGUGAGUGAAAAGAAGGGUUUCGGCUCGUAAAGCUCUGUUGACGGGGACGAAUGUGCUACUUGCGAAUAGUUAGUAGUAAUGACGGUACCCGUCGAGGAAGCCACGGCUAACUACGUGCCAGCAGCGGC